rnacentral:ncRNA from 1 species
CCGAAAGGGUAAGUGGUGUCCUCAUUAAAUGCUAGUCUGCCCCCGUGGCAGGCGACACCCUCAAACUGCGGGGAACUCCUAAAGCUUCUAGGUACCAAGUCAGCGCGCGAAAGCCGCUGGCGGCCAGGUUAAUUGCCUCGGGUACGGUCAAAACCCUAGAAGAUGCUACAAUGGACAAUCCGCAUCCAAGCUCCUAAGAGACUCCGGUCUUAUGGAGAAGGUUCAGAGACUUGAUGGGGGUGGGUUUGAGCUCAUGACGUUCGUGAGAGAAACUCAGGCUUAAGGUAAAGUCCGGCUGCCAGAGAAAUCUGGUC